CCGGGGUGUGCUGCGCAUGCUCAGCAGCGGCGUUGAGGGGUCGGCGGUCAGCUCCCAGCGCCUGUGGUGUACUGCGCAUGCUCAGCAGCGAAGUUUACGGGGUCGGUGGUCGGCUUGUCCCGGCUGGGCCCGGUGUCAGCCCUGCCUCUGUAACGCUAGCUUUGCAAGGCGGGGCUAGGCUUUGCACCGGUGUCCCGUUGCUUGCACAGCACCAGUCCAGAUCCGCUCACCUCCUUUUUUUUUUUUUUUUUUUGAGAUGGAGCCUCGCUCUGUCACCCAGGCUGGUGUCGCAAUCUUGGCUCACUGCAACCUCCGCCUCCUGGAUUCAAGUGAUUCUCCUGCCUCAGCCUCCCGAGUAGCUGGGAUCACAGGCGUGCACCACCAUGCCUGGCUAAUUUUUGUAUUUUUAGUAGAGAUGGGGUUUCACCAUGUUGGACAGGCUGGUCUUGAACCCCUGACCUCAGGUGAUCUGCCCGCCUCGGCCUCCCAAAGUGCCGGGAUUGUAGGUGUGAGCCACAGUGCCCAGCUCCAUCUCUCUUAUAAGGCCACUAAUCCUAUAAAUGAGGGCUUGCCCUCAUGACUUAAUCACAUCCUAAAGGUCCCACCCCUUAAUACUAUCACAUUUGUGUUAAGUUUCAACAUUCAUAUAUUUAAACUUAUGACACAUAUUAUAUGUCAUAUAAUGUGUCAUAUUACAUAUUAUGUGUCAUAAUAUGGACACAUUCAGACCAUAGCAAAUAGUACUGUGCAUAUCAUGCAGUGGAUAUGCUAAGUUUUAGAGUCAACUUUGUAGAAAAUAACAUAUUGAUGACAAGUACUUUAAUAUAUUCUGGAGUAUCGGGGGAACCCGCCCCCAGUAUUUCAACAUAGGUUCCAUUUUCCAUAAGUGUCAGCCAGCUGAGAAACAAAGAGAGACAGUAUAAAGAGAGGAAUUUUACAGCUGGGCUGCCAGGAGUGACAUCACAUAUCGGUAGGACCGUGAUGCCUGCCUGAGUCUCAGACCAGCAAAGUUUUAUUAAGGGUUUCAAAAGGGGAGGGGGCGUAAGAACAGGGAGUAGGUACAAAUAUCGCAGGCUUCAAAGGGCAAAAAGCAGAACUACUAAUAAGGGUCUAACAAACAUCACAUGCUUCUGAGGGAGCAGGACAAAGGGCAAAAGCAGAACUACUGAUAAGGGUCCAACAAAGAUCACAGGGCAAAGGGCAAAAGCAGAACCACUGAUAAAGAUCUAUGUUCAGUGGUGCACAUAUUGUCU
rnacentral:lncRNA from 1 species